GUUAUGUUCAAUGUUUCCGCAGGAAAGUCUCAUACGUUCCUGAAUGUUGGUUAUCAAUGUAAAAGAUGUAUACUGAAACCUGGUUAUCUUGUGAAGUGUAUAAAGUUGUUCAUUAUUACUAUAAGUAAAUCUCUGUUAUCCUAAUUGCGAGUUCCAUAACCAUACGAUAGACUAGAUAUGGCAAUAAGUAGUCCACAUCACCUUAUGACUUUCGUCACCCUUGAACCAUUUCGGUUCGGCUGUAGCUAGCAGCCAGGUGUGGGGUAGUCAGCCCCGUAUAGAUCUAUACACUCAAGUCACGCUCUCUAAAUCCCAGAGAUUCUGGUUACGGGUGUAGUCCUCCACUCGCGUAUCUCUGUGGAGUGUUCGCCGAGGACGUGUCUCCAAUCAUACAGGAAUAACAAAUUUACUAGUAAUAAUAUGAUAGUCCUCCACUCGCGUAUCUCUGUGGAGUGUUACCGAGGACAAACAGUGUACAAGUUUCAUGUUCAUAUGUUCUAAUGUCAUGCUUUUAACUGAUAAAAUGUGGAAAACUGUUUGUGAAGUAUAUAAAACAUAACAGUUUAUAAAACCCAUCUCGACGGUAAACGUUUCGGUUAAAGGUACAAGUUUCAUGUUCAUAUGUUCUUUCUCACCGUUCGCCAUCUCGACGGUAAACGUUUCGGUUAAAGGUUGGGAAUUAUGUUUUAGGUUAUGUUUGAAUGCAUGACUAAUAAAGCUCCUCUCAGCACCCGAAUCGAAAAGAAUAUUAGCAUAUAAGUUGUCCAGAAGGAACGUACCCGAUACAACAGUGGGAUCAGCGACCGCUUCCUCCUGUCCUAUGGCUAGGACUCUUCCGGUGUUAUUGGCUGUAGACUUCUUGGGGCAGUUCCUUUUAAAGUGCCCAGCUUCACCACAGUUGUAGUAGGCUUGACCAACGCCUGCUCCCGAAGAUUGAUUGGCCGAUUGGGCCGGAGCUUUGCAGAAUCGAACGGUGUGCCCCUUCUUACCACAAUUGGUACACGACAGUUCUCGGCAGGGGCCAGGGUUGUGGUGAUACUUGCACUUGUCACAGAGGGGAAGAUUACCAGCAUACCGACUAGUAGGAGUUGGAGCUGUGGAUCCCACAACAGAAGCAGCAGCAACGGGGGUAGUAGCAGCAUGGACUGCUACUGUUUGCUGUCUUUUGGAGGAUCCUUGGGAAGAUUGACCCUUCUUCUUCUUCCAGAAUUUUCUUUUCUCACCACUGCUUUUAGUCGACUCAGGGGCAGUGGUGGUUUCCUCAACAUCAUCACUGUGGUCAAUUAUAGCUUGGGCUAAAGUCUUAGCACUAUCAUAUGUGUCCGGGCGAGCAGCUAAGACAUGACCUUUUGUUGGAUUGGUUAACCCCCAAAUAAACCUCUCGAUCUUUUUGCUUUCAGGAGUGACCAGACCAGGACAGAGAAGGGCAAGAUCAUCGAAUCGGGAAGUGUAUGCAGCAAUGUCGGAACCUUUCAUCUUCAGGUUCCAGAGCUCGUGCUCUAGCUUCUGCAUUUCACCACGGGGACAGUAUUCGGCAAGGAGGAGUUCUUUCAUGGCGUCCCAGCCCAUGGCAUUGGCUACGGGUAGGGUCAAGGAUUUGACUCGGCCAUUCCACCAAGUCAAGGCUUUAUCACUAAAGGUACAGGCUGCAAAUUUGACCUUAUCGGACUCAGCACAAGCACGGAUUUCAAAAAUGGAUUCGAUUUUCUCGAACCAUCGGGAUAAGGAAAUGACACCUCCAGUGCCAUCGAAGAAUGAAAGCUUCGCAUUCAUGAAGUCCUUGUAGGAACCCUCCUUUCGGCGUUGCUGGUUACUUUCUUGAUCUUGAGUACCACCUCCCGAACCACCGGAACCACCGGUGUUCAAUUGGGACAUAGCAGCUGCCACUGCGGCGGUAACAGCUGUCUGGAAUAACACGGGAUCAAUUUCAGGAGGAGCUGGUGGCGGAGGGUUGUUGGUCUUUGAGCUGGGUCUCUUUCUGGGAGGCAUCUUGAUCUAAUAAGAUCAAGAAAGAGAGGAUGAUAAGUCCUCUGAAUUGAAUCGAGAGAUAUGCCAUAUAUUUAUUCCAAAUAAGCGAUAAAGCAGGAAAGAGUUAUCAAAGCAGGUAAACUAUCGCUAAUGGAAUGAUCAAGGAUCUAUACAUGAACGAGGAUUUCUACAAAUAAUUGGCUCGAUAAAUACUCCCAUAGUAUUUCAUGAUUCGUUACUACAUUGGCGCGAUGUUUGUGGUAUUAGGGUAAGUUUUGGGCAUGCCUCAUACCACAGUCACUCCCAAGCACAUGUUGGUCGUGUCUCGAAUGAAUAUAGUUAGCCAGACUAUAUUGAUCCUAGACACGACUACAUAACUGCCCAGGUUUAGCCACAGUAUACAACACCCAUUUACUUAUGUUUUGUUCUACUUGUAUUUACGAAUCUCGACGGCUCGGUAUACUUAUAUAUUUUUUAAAAUAAUUAUAGUUUGAAGAUACUUUUAAUUCAGAGCACUUAGGCCCUUUAGUGUUUAUAGUUUUUUAUACCAUGUAAGGUUUGGUAUACUUUAUUCACUAUAAAACAAGGGCUCUGAUACCAAUCUGUCACACCCUGAAAACCGAAGGCGGAAACAUUUCCGGGGUUGACUCCACGUUGAGUAUCAAAUCCAAUGUACAUAGUAAGUAAAGUGAAACAAACAUUACAUUACAUAUAGAAAAGUUUUACAUUGUUUCAAAAGUAAAGUUAUACAGUUGUGAUACAUAGUAUAAAAUAACAAAACGAGCGGAUCUUCGGAGCACUCCAUCCUGAACAAAAAUGAUCUUCGAGUUCCUGUUCUAUCAAUGACCUGAGAACACAAGCGUUUUGAAAAUCAGCAUAACGCUGGUGAGUUCAUAAGCGGUUUUUGUUUGUGAAAUGUUCAUGUUUCCUUUCUGUUCCUGAAAAUGUAACACACGCCAAGAAAAUCCCACAUUUUCUUAAAAAGUUGGUUGUUGUUUCACAUUAUGUAAAGUAAAGUUGUACACUGAAAACACGUUUACCCUUGUGAAAAAUGUACACUUAGGUUAUCUGUUUUGUUAUACUUUUCUGGUUAUGUACCAAUGGAUUCCCAGGAAAGUCCCAUACUUUCCUGAUUGCAUACUACCAAUUGUAAAAGAUGUAAGGUUAUCUAGUUUGUUACACUUUUCUAGUUAUGUAAAUGUUUCCCCAGGAAGGUCCCAUACCUUCCUAAUUGUAUGUUACCGUAUGAAAAAAAUGUAAAAGAUGUAUUACUGUUAACGUGGUUAUGUUCAAUGUUUCCCCAGGAAAGUCUAUACGUUCCUGAAUGUUGGUUAUCAAUGUAAAAGAUGUAUACUGAAACCUGGUUAUCUUGUGAAAUGUAUUACGUUAUUCAUUAUUACUAUUAAGUAAAUCUCUGUUAUCCUAAUUACGAGUUCCAUAACCAUACGAUAGACUAGAUAUGGCAAUAAGUAGUCCACAUCACCUUAUGACUUUCGUCACCCUUGAACCAUUUCGGUUCGGCUGUAGCUAGCAGCCAGGUGUGGGGUAGUCAGCCCCGUAUAGAUCUAUACACUCAAGUCACACUCUCUAAAUCCCAGAGAUUCUGGUUACGGGUGUAGUCCUCCACUCGCGUAUCUCUGUGGAGUGUUCGCCGAGGACGUGUCUCCAAUCAUACAGGAAUAACAAAU
rnacentral:lncRNA from 1 species